GGGCCCGCACAAGCGGUGGAGCAUGUGGUUUAAUUCGACGCAACGCGAAGAACCUUACCAGGUCUUGACAUCUUCCUGAAUGGUGUAGAGAUAUGCCAGGCCUUUCGGGGACAGGAGGACAGGUGGUGCAUGGUUGUCGUCAGCUCGUGUCGUGAGAUGUUGGGUUAAGUCCCGCAACGAGCGCAACCCUUAUUGCUAGUUGUCAGCACGUGAUGGUGGACCCUCUAGCGAGACUGCCGGUGACAAACCGGAGGAAGGUGGGGAUGACGUCAAAUCAUCAUGCCCUUUAUGACCUGGGCUACACACGUGCUACAAUGGCCUGUACAGAGGGAAGCGAAGCCGCGAGGUGGAGCAAAUCCCAAAAAGCAGGUCUCAGUUCGGAUCGCAGGCUGCAACUCGCCUGCGUGAAGUCGGAAUCGCUAGUAAUCGCGGAUCAGAAUGCCGCGGUGAAUACGUUCCCGGGCCUU
rnacentral:rRNA from 1 species